GGAGCCGAGUUGGAGCCCUGACCCGUUCUAGACUCCUGGGGAGUCGGAGAGCGGCCGGCGGGGCCCCUCGGGCUGCACGUGCAGCGCGGUGCCCGCUCCCUUCCCACGCGGCGUCACGGCCGGGUCCUGUUCAGCCCGCUCCCAGGCGCACCCCUCUGCGGAUAUGGCGCCGGGGCCUCAUUUACCCGGGAAGCCACUCGCCCGGCGGCAGGGCAGGGCAGAGACUGGGUCUGCUCCGCAACCUGAGCGCCGUCUGCUUGUCCGAAAGCGCAGGCGGGAGAAAAUUGCAAAACCAGCAAUAAAGCCCUGCACCAAACCAAACGACAGCGAAGAGAACCAGACCCUCGUUAUCAAAGCCAAGAAGCUGUGAUGUGCACGCCUGUGUGCAGGCCCGCUGCGUGGUAGCGUAAUAAAGCCGCUUCCUUUAAAGUGUGGCUCCUAACGUGCCAGUUGAAAACUCAUAAUUUGCUGGUCACUAUUGUGCAGGUAAAAUACGUGUGGCAACACCUUCCAAACCCCAUAGUUGGUACCCUACUAAGUUCAAGGUCCAUUUUGGUCAGUUUCAUGGUCACAGGAUUUUUUUAAAUUGUAAAUUUCAUGCUUUCAGAUAUUUAAAUCUGAAAUGUCAUGGUGUUGUAACCCUGGGGGUCCUGACCCAAAAAGUGUCGGGGAGGGGGGAGGGUUUGCAGGGCUAUUGCCACCCUUACUUCUGCGCUGCUGAUGGCAGCAGUGUUGCCUUCAAAGCUGGGCAGCCAGAGGGUGGGCUAGUGGCCUGGCACCCAGCUCUAAAGGCAGCGCCACCACUGGCAGCAGCACACAAGUGAGGGUCACAUGAGUGGGGAAAGCAAGGCCAGCCUUAUAGGCAGGCAAGUAGGUGACUGCCCAUGGUUGGGGGUAGGAGCCCCCAGCUGUGGUGCCCCCUAGCCUUGCUCCUCCUCUACAAUAGCUAGAUUUCACAGCGGAGACCAAAUUGCAUGGUCUCUGAUGCAUUUUUCAUGGGCAUGAAUUUGGUAGGGCCCUUCCCAGAGCUCUGCCCAGGCAAAAAUUGGCAAACAGGUCUGUUCUAGACAAAGAAAUGUGUGUGUGCCUUAAUUUGCAUUUAAGCAGUUAACAGAGUCAUCAAGCAGGAAAGGAAGACAAAGGAAAUUCAAACAGGUAAACAAAAAACAAAAAAACAGCAGAGACCAUCCUUUCAUGUAGACUCAGUGGAGGAGGGGUCCUGACCUAAGAGUUUGGUCAGUAAUCUGCUGGAAUAUGUGGUGGAAAUUUUGUUUGAAUCUAAUAUAGUUUGUUACAUUAGGCAUUAGUAAACAUCUUUAUUCUUGUAACUAUUUCUGAUUUUUAUGCCUCACUACUUGUACUCAUUUAAAAUCUAUUUCUUUGUAGUUAAUAAACUUGUUUUACUGUUUUAUCUAA